CAGAAGCUCCCAAAUGGACACCCCACAGGAGACUUGCAAGAAAAGGAUGCCCUCUCCGGCUCCUUAAAAAGGCGAGGAGAAAUGGGACGGUUCCCUGAGUCUUUGAGGUGCUGGGAAGCAGAAGACCUCCUCAUAUGUCCUGUCUCCAAGGGGCCUCUUGGAGUGAAUGAUCAGAAGGGCUGGGGCUUCGGUAACUGGAAAAGGAUGUGAGAGGAAAUGAGUAACUGGAGAAGGUUGUUGGAAGGAGAGGGGAUUUGUGUGAUGGAAGGAGUUUGGCUGACCAGAGAGGAAGGAUGGUCUAGUGGUUAGGACAGGAUUGAAUCCAGGACUCUCUUCGUAAACUCCUGAGUACCUGACCCUCUGGAUUUUGUUUACAGAAUUGAUGUAAAUUGAAACCAUUAUGUUUUGAAUAGCCUUAAAUAAAAGCUAAAUGAAUAAAGUAUUUUAGAACACUGUAUAAUGAUGUAUCAACAGCAUGUUUUGGGGAAAAAAAAACAUUUCCCAAGUUUAUCUUCUGUAUCUGAAGAAGAACAAUCAACAUGUUUUAAUAAAGUCUUCUUUCCCCCCCCCCCCCAAUAAUAAGCUAAUUAAGCUGUGGUGUAAAUUCACCAGGAAUGAAUAUGGGCCAAUAGAUUUAUUCUGUAAGAUUAAAAACAAGAACUGUGUACUAGCUAUGGGGAGGGAACUGCCAAGAGAUCUGAAGGUAUUUUUCACGAACAUCCAGUUGACCUUGUGAUGUUUUCAUCUCCAGAAGAUAUAAAGAUUCCUUGUUAAAUAUACUCUAUACUAAUAAACUAUCUUUCUGAAUCCAAACUAAA